UACAGAGGUCUCAAGCGUUGUUCGGAUUCAUUGGGCGUAAAGGGUGCGUAGGCGGCGCGGUGAGUCGGAUGUGAAAUCUCGGAGCUUAACUCCGAAACUGCAUUCGAUACUGCCGUGCUUGAGGACUGGAGAGGAGACUGGAAUUUACGGUGUAGCGGUGAAAUGCGUAGAUAUCGUAAGGAAGACCAGUGGCGAAGGCGGGUCUCUGGACAGUUCCUGACGCUGAGGAACGAAAGCUAGGGGAGCAAACAGG
rnacentral:rRNA from 1 species